GGCUCAGUCUCAUGCGGCGAAGGCCCGUGAAUCCUGUCAGGCCCGGAAGGGAGCAGCAGUAAGCGGUGUCCGUCGGGUGCCAUGAGGUCGCUGGGUUCCC
rnacentral:SRP_RNA from 1 species